GAUGAACGCUGGCGGCGUGCCUAAUACAUGCAAGUCGAGCGAACAGAUAAGGAGCUUGCUCCUUUGAAGUUAGCGGCGGACGGGUGAGUAACACGUGGGUAACCUACCUAUAAGACUGGGAUAACUUCGGGAAACCGGAGCUAAUACCGGAUAACAUUUAGAACCGCAUGGUUCUAAAGUGAAAGAUGGUUUUGCUAUCACUUAUAGAUGGACCCGCGCCGUAUUAGCUAGUUGGUAAGGUAACGGCUUACCAAGGCGACGAUACGUAGCCGACCUGAGAGGGUGAUCGGCCACACUGGAACUGAGACACGGUCCAGACUCCUACGGGAGGCAGCAGUAGGGAAUCUUCCGCAAUGGGCGAAAGCCUGACGGAGCAACGCCGCGUGAGUGAUGAAGGGUUUCGGCUCGUAAAACUCUGUUAUUAGGGAAGAACAAAUGUGUAAGUAACUGUGCACAUCUUGACGGCACCUAAUCAGAAAGCCACGGCUAACUACGUG
rnacentral:rRNA from 1 species